UAAGUCCCGCAACGAGCGCAACCCUUGUCCUUAGUUGCCAGCCUUAAGUUGGGCACUCUAAGGAGACCGCCGGUGACAAACCGGAGGAAGGUGGGGACGACGUCAAGUCAUCAUGGCCCUUACGUGUAGGGCUACACACGUGCUACAAUGGCAAGUACAAAGGGUUGCAAACUCGCGAGAGUAAGCGGAUCCCAUAAAGCUUGUCGUAGUCCGGAUUGGAGUCUGCAACUCGACUCCAUGAAGUCGGAAUCGCUAGUAAUCGUGGAUCAGAAUGCCACGGUGAAUACGUUCCCGGGCCUU
rnacentral:rRNA from 1 species